CCUACGGGAGGCAGCAGUGGGGAAUAUUGGACAAUGGGCGAAAGCCUGAUCCAGCAAUGCCGCGUGAGUGAUGAAGGCCUUAGGGUCGUAAAGCUCUUUUACCAGGGAUGAUAAUGACAGUACCUGGAGAAUAAGCUCCGGCUAACUCCGUGCCAGCAGCCGCGGUAAUACGGAGGGAGCUAGCGUUGUUCGGAAUUACUGGGCGUAAAGCGUGCGUAGGCGGUUAUUCAAGUCAGAGGUGAAAGCCCGGGGCUCAACCCCGGAACGGCCUUUGAAACUAGAUAACUAGAAUCUUGGAGAGGUCAGUGGAAUUCCGAGUGUAGAGGUGAAAUUCGUAGAUAUUCGGAAGAACACCAGUGGCGAAGGCGACUGACUGGACAAGUAUUGACGCUGAGGUACGAAAGCGUGGGGAGCAAACAGGAUUAGAUACCCUGGUAGUCCACGCCGUAAACGAUGAUAACUAGCUGUCCGGACACUUGGUGUUUGGGUGGCGCAGCUAACGCAUUAAGUUAUCCGCCUGGGGAGUACGGUCGCAAGAUUAAAACUCAAAGAUAGUAGACGUGUGAGUUAGNGACGAGACGACGAGGAGGAG
rnacentral:rRNA from 1 species